GAAGCGUUGUGCGGUGGUUUAUUCGUUUUGUGUGGUGUUAAAAUGCAAAGAAAAGAGUGUGUAAACAAAAGAAAAAGAUUAAAACCCAACACUUAUUAUCUACACAAUUCUAACUGUUAUUGUGGAAGGCAGAAAUCUAAAACAUCUAAAUGCUUGCAACAGACUUUAUAAUUUGACAACAGAAGAGCAAAACAAAAUAAUAGUGGAAAUGUUAGCAGACCAAAAAUUACAGCUGCAAACCCUCAAUAGUUCCCUAAAAAAUGUAACUACCCCGACAAGCAAAUUUCCCCUCAAUUCCGAAGAAUAUCUUCAAAAAGUAAAGAGUAAAAUAUGCGAUUCGAAUGAAGAAAAAUAUAUAUCUGCUGUAAAGUAUUUAAUCAAUGGCAGCGCAAUAAAAAAUUUCGAACGAAUUAUGCAUAAUGUACCAUACGUAUGGAACUUGUGGGAAAAAAUGCCUGAUAGAUUUUAAAAGAAUAUAUAAAAUUGUUAUUGCUAAGUAUUCUGUUUGCGGGUUGUUUGUUCCCAAAUCAAAAACAAAAAUUGAUUUUAAUUUUUUUCAUUACAUUGUAUAACUGUGAAUUGGAG